rnacentral:rRNA from 1 species
GACGAACCGUGCAAACGUUAGUCGGAAUCACUGGGCAUAAAGGGUUGGUAGGCGGCCCCGAUUGUCAGGGGUGAAAUCCGGCAGCUCAACUGUCGAAGUGCCUUUGAUACUGAUUUGCUCGAGGGAUAUAGGGGUCUGUGGAACUUCUGGUGGAGCGGUGAAAUGCGUUGAUAUCAGAAGGAACGCCGGUGGCGAAAGCGACGGACUGGAUAUCUUCUGACGCUGAGGCGCGAAAGCUAGGGGAGCAAACGGG